rnacentral:rRNA from 1 species
AUGACCUCGGAUCAGGUAGGGAUACCCGCUGAACUUAAGCAUAUCAAUAAGCGGAGGAAAAGAAACCAACAGGGAUUACCUCAGUAACGGCGAGUGAAGCGGUAACAGCUCAAAUUUGAAAUCUGGCUCCUCGGGGCCCGAAUUGUAAUUUGUAGAAGAUGCUUUGGGUCUGGGCCUGGCCUAAGUUCCUUGGAACAGGACGUCGUAGAGGGUGAGAAUCCCGUAUGCGGCUGGCGCCCGUGCCCGUGUAAAGCUCUUUCAACGAGUCGAGUUGUUUGGGAAUGCAGCUCUAAAUGGGUGGUAAAUUUCAUCUAAAGCUAAAUAUUGGCCAGAGACCGAUAGCGCACAAGUAGAGUGAUCGAAAGAUGAAAAGCACUUUGGAAAGAGAGUUAAACAGUACGUGAAAUUGUUGAAAGGGAAGCGCUGGCAACCAGACUUGGGCGCUGUCGAUCUGCUAGGGUUCUCUCUAGGGCACUCGGCAGUGCGCAGGCCAGCAUCGGUUUGGGGGGUUGGAGAAUGGCUGGUGGAAUGUGGCUGUCUUCGGGCAGUGUUAUAGCCACCGGUGGCAUGCAGCCUCCCCGGACCGAGGACCGCGCUUCGGCUAGGAUGCUGGCGUAAUGGUUGUCAGCGACCCGUCUUGAAACACGGACCAAGGAGUCUAACAUCUAUGCGAGUGUUUGGGUGUUAAACCCAUACGCGGAAUGAAAGUGAACGUAGGUGAGAACCCGCAAGGGUGCAUCAUCGACCGAUCCUGAUGUCUUCGGAUGGAUUUGAGUAAGAGCAUAGCUGUUGGGACCCGAAAGAUGGUGAACUAUGCCUGAAUAGGGUGAAGCCAGAGGAAACUCUGGUGGAGGCUCGCAGCGGUUCUGACGUGCAAAUCGAUCGUCAAAUUUGGGUAUAGGGGCGAAAGACUAAUCGAACCAUCUAGUAGCUGGUUCCUGCCGAAGUUUCCCUCAG